rnacentral:rRNA from 1 species
UACAGAGGUCUCAAGCGUUGUUCGGAUUCAUUGGGCGUAAAGAGCGUGUAGGCGGCCAUACAGGUCCGUUGUGAAAACUCGAGGCUUAACCUCGAGACGUCGAUGGAAACCGUAUGGCUAGAGUCCGGAAGAGGAGAGUGGAAUUCCUGGUGUAGCGGUGAAAUGCGCAGAUAUCAGGAAGAACACCCGUGGCGAAGGCGGCUCUCUGGGACGGUACUGACGCUGAGGCGCGAAAGCGUGGGGAGCAAACAGG